rnacentral:rRNA from 1 species
CCUACGGGAGGCAGCAGUGAGGAAUAUUGGUCAAUGGGCGUAAGCCUGAACCAGCCACGUCGCGUGAGGGAUGAAGGUUCUAUGGAUCGUAACCCUCUUUUAUAAGGGAAUAAAGUGCGGGACCUGUCCCGUUUUGUCUGUACCUUAUGAAUAAGGAUCGGCUAACUCCGUGCCAGCAGCCGCGGUAAUUCGGAGGAUCCGAGCGUUAUCCGGAUUUAUUGGGUUUAAGGGGUGCGUAGGCGGCCUUGUAAGUCAGCGGUGAAAGUCUGUGGCUCAACCAGAGAAUUGCCGUUGAAACUGGGAGGCUUGAGUAUGUGUGAGGCAGGCGGAAUGCGUGGUGUAGCGGUGAAAUGCGUAGAUAUCACGCAGAACCCCGAUUGCGAAGGCAGCCUGCCAAGACAUGACUGACGCUGAUGCACGAAAGCGUGGGGAGCAAACAGGAUUAGAUACCCUGGUAGUC